GUAAUGUCUGGGAAACUGCCUGAUGGAGGGGGAUAACUGCUGGAAACGGUAGCUAAUACCGCAUAACGUCGCAAGACCAAAGAGGGGGACCUUCGGGCCUCUUGCCAUCGGAUGUGCCCAGAUGGGAUUAGCUAGUAGGUGGGGUAACGGCUCACCUAGGCGACGAUCCCUAGCUGGUCUGAGAGGAUGGCCAGCCACACUGGAACUGAGACACGGUCCAG
rnacentral:rRNA from 1 species